AAGUUCUGAUUCAGAGAGGCUAUGACUCCGACCCUGUGAAAGCCUGGAAAGAAGCUCAGCAGAAGGUCCCAGAAGAAGAGGAAAAUGAAGAGAAUGAAGAGAGCGAGAGUGAAAGCAGCAGCCCUGCAGCGGAGUCUGGACCGACCUUCAACUACCUUCUUGAUAUGCCCCUGUGGUAUCUAACCAAGGAGAAGAAGGACGAGCUGUGCAAGCAAAGGGACGAGAAGGAACAAGAGCUCAACACGUUAAAGAAAAAGACUCCAUCGGAUUUGUGGAAGGAAGACCUGGCUGCUUUUGUGGAAGAACUGGAGGUUGUUGAAGCCAAGGAAAAACAGGAUGAACAAGUAGGACUUCCUGGAAAGGGGGUGAAAGCGAAGGGGAAGAAAGCGCAGGACUGUUGACAUCUCCACACUCAGCCAGGAAGUGUGAUCCGUGCCAAUCUCCGUAAUUCCGACUUGUGAAUGCCGAGACCUUCUGUGCUGUUGUAUAUGUUACUUAAGUGCUAUUAUCAGUGUCUUUUGUAAAUAUUUAAUAUGUCUGUCUAUUCAGCUUAAUUCCAACUAUUUUGUACUUUAAUAAAUGUUCUAAACAUCG
rnacentral:lncRNA from 1 species